rnacentral:rRNA from 1 species
AUUUUAAAAUAUUGUUAAUUUUAUUGUGAGCAAUGUAUGUAAAAAUUAAUAUUAUCAUUAAAUAGUAAAUAAUAAUGAAGCGUUUAAUAAUAAGAGGCUAUAGAUUACAAGUACUGAAUAGGAAAUAAAAAUAAUUAAUUUUAAAAAGAGUAAGCAAAUAUAAAAAUUUGUACCUUGUGUAUCAGGGGUGAUCUAAAUUGAGCAAAUAUAAACUGCAGUUCUCGAAAUAAGAAUAGCUAUUAUUUUAAGUAUAUUCUUUGUCACAUAAAAGUAUUUAAUAAAAUAAUAAAGAUGAGAUGUCAAACGAGUCUUAUAAUAUCUAGUUUUCUAGGAAUUAAAUAUAAUUUGAUCAUUAAGUUUAAAAAAUUUAAUGUUAAAGAGCAGGAGGGAUGAGCUUCUUGCUACUAAUAUUAUUAUUCAAUAAAUUCUAAAAUUAAAGGUCUUUUUAAGCUUAAAAUUAGCUAUAAAAGUAAAGUGUUCUAAUUUAAGACAAGUAAUUUAAAUCAUGAGAUUUAUAAAGGGUUUUUGAACUAGUACUAGGAUUUUACAAUAAAUAUAAAAAUUGUAAGUAAAAAUGAUUUUAUAAGUAGAAUUAGUUGUAGGAAAAGUUAAUGUAGAUUGAGUAUAGAUAACUAUAAUUAAAUAAUUUAAAUUUAAAAGUAACUCGGCAAAAAAUUUUCUUGCCUGUUUAUCAAAAACAUGUCUAUUUGAGGAUAUAUGUAGUCUAGCCUGCUCACUGACAUAAAUGUUAAAUAGCCGCGGUAUCUUGACCGUGCAAAGGUAGCAUAAUCAUUAGUUUUUUAAUUGGAAACUCGUAUGAAUGGUUGGACAAAGAAAAAUCUGUCUCUUUUAUUAAAAUUGAAUUUGACUUUUAAGUGAAAAGGCUUAAAUUUUCUAGAGGGACGAUAAGACCCUAUAAAGCUUUAUAAAUUCGAUAAUUUUGCAAAUUUGUACAAAUAAAAGUAAUUUUGAAAAAUUUAUUUGGUUGGGGCGACAAAAGUAUAAUUAAAAUAACUGCUAGAAUUUCAAACAAUAAUUUUUGAUUUAGGUUUGUAAAUGAUCCCUUAUAAGGAUUAAAAGAUCAAGUUACUUUAGGGAUAACAGCGUAAUCUUUUUUGAGAGUGCUUAUCAAAAAAAAGGUUUGCGACCUCGAUGUUGAAUUAAAAUGUCUUUACGGUGCAGCAGCUGUAUAAGAAGGUCUGUUCGACCUUUAAUUUUUUACAUGAUUUGAGUUCAGACCGGCGAGAGCCAGGUCGGUUUCUAUCUUCUAGAUUUGUAAGUGUUACUUUAGUACGAAAGGAUUAAGUAAUAAAAACUUUUUUAAAAUUGAAAUA